rnacentral:rRNA from 1 species
UCUAGCAUGAAGUCAGACAAGUGAACCCGCUGAAG